CACGUAGGGGGCAAGCGUUGUCCGGAUUUACUGGGUGUAAAGGGUUCGUAGGCGGUGUAGCAAGUCGGGAGUGAAAUCUCUGGGCUUAACCCAGAGGCUGCUUCCGAAACUGCUGUGCUUGAGUGUGGGAGAGGCGCGUGGAAUUGCAGGUGUAGCGGUGAAAUGCGUAGAUAUCUGCAGGAACACCCGUGGCGAAAGCGGCGCGCUGGACCACUACUGACGCUGAGGAACGAAAGCUAGGGGAGCAAACAGG
rnacentral:rRNA from 1 species